rnacentral:rRNA from 1 species
CUACGGAGGAUGCGAGCGUUAUCCGGAUUUAUUGGGUUUAACGGGAGCGUAGGCGGGAGCUUAAGUCAGCGGUUAAAUGGUGCGGCUCAACCGUGCCCUGCCGUUGAAACUGGGUUUCUUGAGAGUGCAAGAGGCGGAUGGAAUUCAUGGGUGAGCGGGGGAAUGCUUAGAUAUCAUGAAGAACUCCGAUUGCGAAGGCAGUCCGCUGGGGCACGUCUGACGCUGAUGCUCGAAGGUGCGGGAAUCAAACAGGAUUAGAUACCCUGGUAGUCCGCACGGUAAACGAUGAUUACCCGCUGUCGGCGGCAGACAGUCGGCGGCCAAGCGAAAGCGAUAAGUAAUCCACCUGGGGAGUACGCCGGCAACGGUGAAACUCAAAGGAAUUGACGGGG